rnacentral:lncRNA from 1 species
CAAUGUGCAGUAUUUAAUUAAAUGCACCAUAUUCCACUAACGAGUGGAUUUUAUAACUCCAAUCUACUCCCCUCCUCAAUUAAUCCUUCCACCCCGCACUAAUGACUAGGUUUUGUAAUUUCAAUCCACUCCCCUCCUCCAUUAAUUCUUAUUUACCAUGCAAAGAAGAGCAUUAUCAUCUAAUCUCCCACCCUACACUCA